rnacentral:rRNA from 1 species
AUGAACGCUGGCGGCGUGCCUAAUACCUGCAAGUCGAGCGAACAGACGAGGAGCUUGCUCCUCUGACGUUAGCGGCGGACGGGUGAGUAACACGUGGAUAACCUACCUAUAAGACUGGGAUAACUUCGGGAAACCGGAGCUAAUACCGGAUAAUAUAUUGAACCGCAUGGUUCAAUAGUGAAAGACGGUUUUGCUGUCACUUAUAGAUGGAUCCGCGCCGCAUUAGCUAGUUGGUAAGGUAACGGCUUACCAAGGGAACGAUGCGUAGCCGACCUGAGAGGGUGAUCGGCCACACUGGAACUGAGACACGGUCCAGACUCCUACGGGAGGCAGCAGUAGGGAAUCUUCCGCAAUGGGCGAAAGCCUGACGGAGCAACGCCGCGUGAGUGAUGAAGGUCUUCGGAUCGUAAAACUCUGUUAUUAGGGAAGAACAAAUGUGUAAGUAACUAUGCACGUCUUGACGGUACCUAAUCAGAAAGCCACGGCUAACUACGUG